UGAUGACGAAAGACGCACGGUGGAUAUAACUUUGCGGGAUGUUGACCAACUCCUCCCGUUGAUAUACAAAAAAAAACCACGUAAACAUCGCCGCGAUUAUUUACGGAAAUUCAUCAACCGGAAUCGGUCUUUUUUUGACAAUUUCAUCAAGAAAAAAAAAUACAGACGCCGAGAAGAGAAGAUUGUGAAUAUGACUCAUUCUUCGAAAUUGGCUUGGCGGCGAAGAACGAUCUCCUCGCAAUGUCGGAGCGUGGAGUAGAAGUUGUUGGUGACGGGGUAGGAACGGAUGGAAGAAAUGCGGAGGGAAAUGUUGAGAAUGAUGCGCUUCCAAGCCGAGCUCAACGAAGAAGAAAAAGAAAGACAGAGCUGGAGCGUCUUGUUCAAAAAUGUUAAAAAAAAAUAAAUUUUAUUCAUAAUUCCUCGA